rnacentral:tRNA from 1 species
GCUGGAGAUGUAGCUCAGUGAUAGAGUACUUGGCUAGCAUGUGCAAGGCCCUGGGUUCAAUCUCCAGCACAGCA